AUGUCUUAUCCACACACUCUUUCCUUUCUUAUCUUAUCUAGAUCUUUGGAAGGUCACGUGGAAAGCUUUUCUUCUCCCCUCUCCCCCACAGCUUUAUUGAGACAUAAUGGACAUUCAACAUUGUGUUAUUUCCAGUUGAACUUCCUCUUCACAGGCUUGUGAGAGUAUCCCCCAAACAUGUCUUGCCUGCCAUCUAUUUUUGCACUUUUCAUCAGAGAAACUGGAAAGCCUUAUCCAUAGAAUGUUAUCCACAUCUCAAGGGGCUUGAGUUUGGGCCUAACUCCAUGAUUUGUUCUGGGCCAACGAAAGUUUCUUAUCCAGGUGUUUGCUUUGACUGCCUUCCAAGGUGGCAUGCAGCAAACCCAAUGUGGGCCACUGGGAAAGGCCUCCAGGAAAGGCAUCUGGUAGCACCUUCUUUUUUUCAGUCACGUGUUUUUCUGCUGUUACCUGCUAGGAGAGUGACAAAAGAGAGAUGACUCAGGCAGGCAAGUGUUGUGGAGGCUAGAGCCUGUGUAUGUUGCAAAAAGAGUCACAGAUCCUUCUCGUCUGUAUGUGCGUGCC
rnacentral:lncRNA from 1 species